AUACCAUGCUGAAUAUACUGGUUCUCGUUAGAUCACCGAAGUCAAGCAUCAUUGGGAGCGGUCAGUACUUGGGUGGGUGACACC